CGACAACGCCGCGUGAACGAUGAAGUAUUUCGGUACGUAAAGUUCUUUUAUUAGGGAAGAAUAAAUGAUGGAAAAAUCAUUCUGACGGUACCUAAUGAAUAAGCCCCGGCUAACUAUGUGCCAGCAGCCGCGGUAAUACAUAGGGGGCAAGCGUUAUCCGGAAUUAUUGGGCGUAAAGGGUGCGUAGGCUGUUAAAUAAGUUUAUGGUCUAAGUGCAAUGCUCAACAUUGUGAUGCUAUAAAAACUGUUUAGCUAGAGUAAGAUAGAGGCAAGUGGAAUUCCAUGUGUAGUGGUAAAAUGCGUAAAUAUAUGGAGGAACACCAGUAGCGAAGGCGGCUUGCUGGGUCUUUACUGACGCUGAGGCACGAAAGCGUGGGGAGCAAACAGGAUUAGAUACCCUGGUAGUCCACGCCGUAAACGAUGAGUACUAAACGUUGGGUAAAACCAGUGUUGAAGUUAACACAUUAAGUACUCCGCCUGAGUAGUACGUACGCAAGUAUGAAACUUAAAGGAAUUGACGGGACUCCGCACAAGCGGUGGAUCAUGUUGUUUAAUUCGAAGGUACCCGAAAAACCUCACCAGGUCUUGACAUGCUUCUGCAAAGCUGUAGAAACACAGUGGAGGUUAUCAGUUGCACAGGUGGUGCAUGGUUGUCGUCAGCUCGUGUCGUGAGAUGUUGGGUUAAGUCCCGCAACGAGCGCAACCCUUAUUGUUAGUUGCCAGCACGUAAUGGUGGGGACUUUAGCAAGACUGCCAGUGAUAAAUUGGAGGAAGGUGGGGACGACGUCAAAUCAUCAUGCCCCUUAUGACCUGGGCUACAAACGUGA
rnacentral:rRNA from 1 species